UCUGACCUGCCCACUGAUUAUUUAAAUGGCCGCAGUAUAUUAACUGUGCAAAGGUAGCAUAAUCAUUAGUUUUUUAAUUGAAGGCUGGUAUGAAUGGUUGGACGAAAUAUUUACUGUUUCAUAAAAAUUUUUAAUAGAAUUUUAUUUUUUAGUUAAAAAGCUAAAAUAUAUUUAAAAGACGAGAAGACCCUAUAAAUCUUUAUAAUAAUAUAUUUUAUUAAUUUUUAGAAUUUUUUUUUUAUAAUAUUUAUUAUUAUUUUAUUGGGGUGAUAUUAAAAUUUAAUUAACUUUUAUAAUUUAUUACAUUAAUUUAUGAAUAAAUGAUCCAUUAUUAAUGAUUAAAAAAUUAAGUUACUUUAGGGAUAACAGCGUAAUUUUUUUGGUGAGUUCAUAUCAAUAAAAAAUAUUGCGACCUCGAUGUUGGAUUAAGAAAUAUAUUUAGGUGUAGUAGUUUAAAAUAUAAGUCUGUUCGACUUUUAAUUUCUUACGUGAUCUGAGUUCC
rnacentral:rRNA from 1 species